rnacentral:lncRNA from 1 species
AUGGAUGUAUUCUGCAUGGAACGAGCAAAAUAUUUUAAUAGGCCUACAUUUUUUUUUAUCUCCCUCUCGUCACUAGGGGGUGCUGCAGCACCCCCAGCACCCCCACUUCCCGCGGCCAUGGCUACAAGUGACCCCACCUAUGAGGAUGGAUUUAAAGACCGGUUUGAACUGAAAAGAACAGAAACACUGAAGGGAGUUCUGAAAAUCUCUGAUCUCAGUUCAUCAGACUCGGCUGUUUAUUACUGUGCUGUCAGUGCUACAGGUGAACCCACGUUUGAAGAUGGAUUUAAAGGCCGGACUGAACUGGACAGAACAGAAACACUGAAGGGAGUCCUGAAAAUCUCUGAUCUCAGUUCAUCAGACUCGGCUGUUUAUUACUGUGCUGUCAGUAUGCACAGUGCUGUAGUCUUUAUUACCUGCCUGACUAAAAACCAAGCCACCAGACAAACAGGAAAUGCAAUACGUACAAAUGAGGAAUCUAACCUCUGUAUCUUUUUCUUUUUUUCAGAUUUUCUUUUUCAAAGAUUUUUGUACUUUCUGUCAGUUUUUAAUUGAAAACACAAUCAAAUAUAAGCUUUCCUCCAAAACUAGUAGACCUACCUAGACAACAUUUUAAGGCAUCAUGUGUGGUGGCCAAAUUUUACAGUAACAUAUCCUUCACAGAUAACACAAUACCAGGAUGCAUUGCGACAGUAUCUGUGAAACAUACAAGAUGAUGGAUGCAGUCGAGAGAAAUAUUUCCAAUAAAUACUUACAUUUCAUGCAACAAAAACAGUUUCAGUCAAAUCCACAGCAAAAUAUUCUGUUGCUGGGGGCUACAUUGUUAUUUCUUCCUCUAAUGAGGAAGGUUUUGGAACUAAUUUCACAGUGUCAAGUACACAGACUAAUUAAUGGACCCUGAAAGUGGAUGUUAAUGAUGGGAUUGAUGCUGUGUAUCUGUGUGCUGCUAGUUUACACAAUGAAACAAAUAAAAAGAAAAAGAAAUGGUGUAAGAAAAAAUGCAAUAAAAUCCUGCAAUCACACCUGCCUUAACCAUGAAUAAAUAAACCCAUAUUUGUACAAACCAGUCAGCAGAACCUGACAAC